UAAUGUAUUUUAAAAUAAUAUAUAUUUUCAUUGUCUUAUUAUUAUUUUUGUGCUACAGAAGAAUCUGUGGAUCCUGUAGUGAUUUGCCUCGCUGUAGCAUUAGGAGUGUGUGUGGUUGUGCUCUUUGCUCAUGUCGUAAGCUCUAAAGGGAGAAACUGUGAACGUUGUCAUGUGAGAUCUCAUCACGGUUCUGCAGUAGAGAAAACACUCAAUCAGGGCCGUUCUGCUCUCAAGGUCAAUUUCUCUGCUUUACAUUUCAAAGAGAGGAAAAUCAAACCCAAUGAUAGAGUGUACACUGAAGUGGUUUACUCCUCUUUUACUUAGAAUAUAUUUCAGUAAUGCUUUAUAUUACACAUGAUAUUACUGCACGUCUCUUACUGUUUCAUGAAUGCAUUGAUCAAUAGUGAAUCUACAGCAAGUCUUACAUGUAUUAUUGUCUUUUGUUGUUGUUGUAAAUGUAAUAAUCUGUGGUUUGAAGUAAAAGUAAAGAUCAGAUGAUCAUAUCGUCUGAAAUCAUUUUAAACUGUUAUUAUCGUUACAGUCCCAUGCCAACUGAAGAGACACAUAAGGGGCACUCUACAUAAUUUCUGUAAUUUCUACAAU